rnacentral:rRNA from 1 species
AGUGAACGCUGGCGGUAGGCCUAACACAUGCAAGCCGAACGGCAGCACAGUAAGAGCUUGCUCUUACGGGUGGCGAGUGGCGGACGGGUGAGGAAUACAUCGGAAUCUACUUUUUCGUGGGGGAUAACGUAGGGAAACUUACGCUAAUACCGCAUACGACCUACGGGUGAAAGCAGGGGAUCUUCGGACCUUGCGCGAUUGAAUGAGCCGAUGUCGGAUUAGCUAGUUGGCGGGGUAAAGGCCCACCAAGGCGACGAUCCGUAGCUGGUCUGAGAGGAUGAUCAGCCACACUGGAACUGAGCCACGGUCCAGACUCCUACGGGAGGCAGCAGUGGGGAAUAUUGGACAAUGGGCGCAAGCCUGAUCCAGCCAUACCGCGUGGGUGAAGAAGGCCUUCGGGUUGUAAAGCCCUUUUGUUGGGAAAGAAAAGCAGCAGGUUAAUACCCCGCUGUUCUGACGGUACCCAAAGAAUAAGCACCGGCUACCUUCGUG